rnacentral:rRNA from 1 species
UAUUUUGAGGCAAGAGAACAUGUCCGUCUGCAUCAAGAGUUUGACCAAUAUUUGGCCUCUGGGGAACUAGACGAUGAUGUCUAUAAGUUCAAUUCUUCACAGGAUAAGUCUGUUCUGCAAUUUGCUGAGAAACACGUUGUGAAAAGUCGGUUUGGGAAGCUCGACCAUAAGCUCAUGAAAUUAUCUUUGGAGGACCGAGGUCCGAUUGUGGAUACACAACGUCAAAUAGAUACUUACUCUGAGAACUUGAGAGACAUCCUCGCGAACAAGGAGCUGAAUGUCAGCAUCCAAAAAAAGAUGAACAAGCUAGAGGAGGAAGGCUUUUUCGACGUCGAUAACGAUUCUAUCGACUGGGGCAAGCCAUGUUUUGUAUCACUUAUAGACAGAUUUAAGGAGCUGGUUUUCAAAGGACAUGUCUGCCCCAGACAUGUUGUUGUUCAAGGAAUUAUGGAGUACCUGGCAAUCUCACAAAGAAGCGGCGUAAUAACUGGACAAUUUUCUCUUGAAAAGGUUGUUGAAGAAGAGUGUCGUAGAUGGAAGGGAAAC